rnacentral:rRNA from 1 species
CCUAGUUAAUUCUACUAAUAGUCAUAUGCUUAUCUCAAAGAUUAAGCCAUACAUAUCUAAGUAUAAGCAAUUAUAUAGCAAAACUAUAAAUAGCUUAUUAUAUAAGUUAUCGUUUAUUUAAUAAUACCUUACUACUUAGAUAACUAUAGUAAUUCUAAAGCUAAUAUAUACUAAAAAUCCCGACUUUAGAAAAGAUAUAUUUAUUAGAUUAAAAACUAAUACCUUUUAAGGCUUACUAGUAAUUUAUAAUAACUUCUCGAAUCGCAUAGCCUUACGCCGGCAAUAGUUUAUUUAAAUUUCUUCCCUAUUAACUUUCGAUACUAAAGUAGUAUUCUAGCAUAGUUAUAAUAGGUAACAGAGGGUUAAGGCUUAACCCCGGAGAAGGAGCCUAAGAAACAGCUACUAUAUCUAAGGAAGGUAGUAAGUAUAUAAAUUACCUAAUCCCGACUCGGGGAGGUAGUAAUAAUAAAUACUAAUAUAAGGCUUUUUUAAGUCUUAUAAUUAAAAUAAGUAUAAUUUAAAUCCCUUAACGAGGAAUAAUUAGAAGGCAAGUCUAGUACUAGCAGCCGCGGUAAUUCUAGCUUUAAUAAUAUAUAUUAAAGUUAUUAUAAUUAAAAAGCUUGUAGUAAAACCUUAGGCCUAGCUAGCCGGUCUGCCUUACCGCGUAUACUAGCUCUUAGCUAGGCCUUUCCCUCUACUAAAAACCGCAUACCCUUUACUAGGUAUGCCGGGGAAAUAAGACUUUUACUUUAAAAAAAUUAGAAUACUCUAGGCAAGCCUAUACUUAAAUACAUUAGCAUAGAAUAAUAAAAUAAGACAUAUAGUUCUAUUUUAUUAGUUUCUAAAACCGCUAUAAUAAUUAAUAAGGAUAGUCGGAGGUAUUAGUAUUUAAUUAUUAGAGGUAAAAUUCUUAGAUUUAUUAAAAACUAACUACUACGAAAGCAUUUACUAAGGAUAUUUUUAUUUAUUAGGAACGAAAGUUAGGGGAUUAAAGACGAUUAGAUACCGUCGUAAUCUUAACUAUAAACUAUACCGACUAGGGAUCGGACGAUGUUAUUUUUUGACUCGUUCGGCACCUUACGAGAAAUCAAAGUGCUUGGGCUCCAGGGGGAGUAUGGUCGCAAGGCUGAAACUUAAAGAAAUUGACGGAAGGCACCACCAGGGGUGGAGCCUGCGGCUUAAUUUGACUCAACACGGGGAAACUCACCAGGUCCAGACACAAUGAGGAUUGACAGAUUGAGAGCUCUUUCUUGAUUUUGUGGGUGGUGGUGCAUGGCCGUUCUUAGUUGGUGGAGUGAUUUGUCUGCUAAUUGCGAUAACG